rnacentral:tRNA from 1 species
UAAGACUUGUACGAACCAACCGCACAUCAUCUGAAUGCAACUCAAACACUUUUAUUAAGCUAAAGCCUU